AUACUUACCUGGCAGGGGGAAUACCACGAUCAAGAAGGUGGUUUCCCCAGGGUGAGGCUCUUCCAUUGCACACUUCUGUUGGGUUGACCCCUGUGAUUUCCCCAAAUGUGGCAAACUCAACUGCAUAAUUUAGGAUCCAGAAUCACCUUAUGGCAGACAUUCAGU